rnacentral:rRNA from 1 species
CCUACGGGAGGCAGCAGUGAGGAAUAUUGGUCAAUGGCCGAGAGGCUGAACCAGCCAAGUCGCGUGAGGGAAGAAUGUCCUAUGGAUUGUAAACCUCUUUUGUCAGGGAGCAAAGUCACCCACGUGUGGGUGUUGGAGAGUACCUGAAGAAAAAGCAUCGGCUAACUCCGUGCCAGCAGCCGCGGUAAUACGGAGGAUGCGAGCGUUAUCCGGAUUUAUUGGGUUUAAAGGGUGCGUAGGCGGGUUAUCAAGUCAGCGGUAAAAUCGUGGAGCUCAACUCCAUCCAGCCGUUGAAACUGUUGGUCUUGAGUAUCGGAGAGGCAGGCGGAAUUCCUAGUGUAGCGGUGAAAUGCGUAGAUAUUAGGAGGAACACCAGUGGCGAAGGCGGCCUGCUGGACGACAACUGACGGUGAGGCGCGAAAGCGUGGGGAGCAAACAGGAUUAGAUACCCUUGUAGUC